UUCAAUUCAAGUUUUCCAGGCUUCUAUGAAUGGCUUUAAAUGACUCGAAAACAAAUACAAUCACAAUUUAGAUUACCUUUAGUCGCCCAAGCCCCAUCGUGACAGCACUGUAUAGCACAUGAAGAACUGCUAAAAAGAAUAUGAGGAUAUGUAACUGAUGCAGUCCAUCGACAGUUAUGAUUGGCACCUUACCCUUUACCUCCUUGCAACUGGAAGAAUAACCAGCUAGCAUUCGGUGUUCAUACCACAAAAGCCUCCGGCGAUUAUCACCUUCUUCACUGG